AGUGAACGCUGGCGGUAGGCCUAACACAUGCAAGUCGAACGGCAGCACAGUAAGAGCUUGCUCUUACGGGUGGCGAGUGGCGGACGGGUGAGGAAUACAUCGGAAUCUACUUUUUCGUGGGGGAUAACGUAGGGAAACUUACGCUAAUACCGCAUACGACCUACGGGUGAAAGCAGGGGAUCUUCGGACCUUGCGCGAUUGAAUGAGCCGAUGUCGGAUUAGCUAGUUGGCGGGGUAAAGGCCCACCAAGGCGACGAUCCGUAGCUGGUCUGAGAGGAUGAUCAGCCACACUGGAACUGAGACACGGUCCAGACUCCUACGGGAGGCAGCAGUGGGGAAUAUUGGACAAUGGGCGCAAGCCUGAUCCAGCCAUACCGCGAGGGUGAAGAAGGCCUUCGGGUUGUAAAGCCCUUUUGUUGGGAAAGAAAAGCAGCAGGUUAAUACCCCGCUGUUCUGACGGUACCCAAAGAAUAAGCGCCGGCUAACUUCGUG
rnacentral:rRNA from 1 species